ACUGAUCAGCCGGUAGAACAUAUAAUGAUGUUAUUUUUCGCUUUUUAGUUUAGUGGGUACGUUUUUAGGUUUUGAAGUCGGUUGUAUUUUUUUAUUAAAAUUUUUAUUAUAGUAUUAGCAUAGAAGUCGCUUGGGAAAUUAUAGUCUUUUGGUCAUUGCACCACGCACAAAAGGCUGGACCAAUUUUGCUGAGGGUAGGGAUAGGAUAGAGGUAGGGAAGGGGUAGGAUAGAGGUAGGGUAGGGGUAAUUUAGGGAAAGUGUAGGGUAGGGUAGGGUAGGGUACGGAUAAGGUAGGGGUAGUGUAGGGUAGGGGCGAGGUAGAGGUAGGGGAAGGAUAUGGAACGUAUAGGGUAGGGGAGGAGUAGGAUAGGGGUAGGGUAGGGGUAGGGAAGGGUUAGGGUUAGCGGUAGGGUCGGAGUAAGGUAGGGGUAGGGUAGGGGUAGAUUAGGGGUAGGGUAGGAUAGGGUAUGGAUAGGAUACGGGUAGGGUUAGGGUAGGGUAAGGUGGGGGGAAGGAAGGGUAAGCAUUAGCGGUAGGGUAGGAGUAAGGUAGGGGUAGGGUAGGGUUGGGUAGGUUUACGAGCAGGGUAAGGUAGAGGUAGAGAAGUUUACAUC